rnacentral:rRNA from 1 species
UACGAAGGGGGCUAGCGUUGCUCGGAAUCACUGGGCGUAGAGCGCACGUAGGCGGAUCUUUAAGUCAGGGGUGAAAUCCUGGAGCUCAACUCCAGAACUGCCUUUGAUACUGGGGAUCUCGAGUCCGGAAGAGGUGAGUGGAACUCCGGGUGUAGAGGUGAAAUUCGUAGAUAUUCGCAAGAACACCAGUGGCGAAGGCGGCUCACUGGCCCGAUACUGACGCUGAGGCACGAAAGCGUGGGGAGCAAACAGG